rnacentral:ncRNA from 2 species
AUUUAAGCCUCGGGGUGGUCGCAAGGCCUGAGAUUCACCAAUUGGUGUAGACCCGAUGAACCUGAUCCGGUUAAUACCGGCGUAGGGACAGGCGGCAACACCUCUC